ACGCACACCAUGCCUUGACCUAUUCGUUGCCAGUCGUGCGAGAUCCAAUCCGCCAAUCGGCGCGCCACCAUGGACAAAGAAAAGCAGUAUGUCGCCGUGAGUGAAACCAUGUCCAUCCUUUGAUUUGGCCUAGCGAAUCAGACCGAUGGUGAAGCACAAGGAGCGGGGGAGGUGUGUGUGGGGAUUCCUAACCGUGGGGAGGCCCAAAUCAACCACAAUUUCUCGACGGAGCUGGGAAACCGCCGCCGUGCCGCAUGAUGUCGGUAUUGGGCCUCUACGACAUGCGAUUCCUAGGUAUGAAGUCCUUACCGAUUUCCUUAAGCCCCUAGCUGCGUUCAACACGAUUUUGUAUGGAGUUUGGUCCACUGUAGUGUCGAUCCCGUGGUCGCCGGCAUGACCGCCGCCGUGCACUAGGUGCCUGCCGCGUCCGACUGCUUUUGUGGGGAAGAGAAUCUGGUGAGCGUUGGAUCCUUUAUGUAGGGUUGUAGUAUGGGGGUGUGGUUGGUCGUUGGAUCGAGCGCGGGCGCUCCGGAUCAGACGAAUGGUGACCCCUUCGAAUGUUGAAAUCACGACCGUUGAUUACUGAUCCAACACACCUUGUAGCAUAUCCUUUCGGGUUAUAACUGAGUACAUUGGAUCUGGAUCGUGCGGCCGAGAUCUAGGGAUACCCCUUCAGCCGACCCAUCUUACAAAAGAGCCCCUGAUGUUGUUAAUAAAUAACCCGCCAUUCCCCGCAGGAUAAACAUGAGUCUUAGAGAAAGAUAUGAAUUAGCCCCUGGGUUUCUGUUUAUUUCACGCACAACCCAGAGUUUUGGUAAAUUAGGGAAAAGAUUUAUAAAUUGAUUUUUGAAUAUAGAAAUAAUCGCAGAAACUUAUUUAAUUCCUAGAAAAUUCAUAUUAACUCCUUUUUAGUCCAUUCUAGUUCCUAUAAUUUUGUUUUAUUAUUGUUCAUCACUCAGUAACACUGUUUUAGUAUGAAACUCAUAAUAGAAUUUAUCUCAUAAUUAAUCUCGUAUCAAAUGCAUAAAACCUUCGGAAAUUCUUAACUCCUCCGUUUUAAUUCCGAAUUGACUCGUUCUAGUUGUGUUAGCUUCAUAUAAAUAUUUACUACACAAUAACAACAUCAAUUAUACCAUGUCGCAUACUUUUAUAUUUAUUUAUCCUAUGUCUACUAGACUACCUCUUCUAAAUCAAAUUUAACCUGUCCAUAACUAUAAUAUGAUUAAAGCAUGAUCUCUAGUCAAGCUAUGAUUAAAGUUUAAGUUGAAUUAAUUAUUUAUUUAUGGAAUAAUCUAUCAUAUGAUAUAGACUAACCAACUUAUAAUAUAGUUUAAUAUUUAAAUCACAUAGAUCUUCUAUAAAAUCGUAACUCCUUAAUCGUAACUCCGAUCUUACUAGUUCUCGAUCCCAUGAUCUCGUAGCAACGCGUAGAUUACUACUAUGCAGUUUGUUAUUAUGUUUGGUGUGAUGUUAAUUUUGUCUAUACCAUGUUAGCUUGUAUUGCUACGACUAGCAGUGAGGUCACGAGAAUCUAAAGAUCAUCAUGGUACUUGGAAUCUCAAGUCCCAAGCAAGUUGUGCCCUUGAUCACUUUUAUUACCCAACAAUGUUCUCUAUAAUCAUUUUAUCAUGCAUAGGCUUAAUUUUUAUGGGACCCAAUAGGUUGCCCUAGACUGCUUAUCUUUUUACCUUGUUCACCCCUGAAUCAUUUUGGUAGUUUUGCUAUUGCUCUAUGGUUUUGGGUUUAAUAUUAUAUUAUAUCCAUGUUCCAAUUAUUCUGUUAUUAUAUUUAUGUUCAUGUCAAGAUCAUUAUUGUAAUUGGAACAUGGAGCUUAACUUGGAGAAACACGUGCCACUACAAGGGUGGAAUAGGACGCCCUUGGCUGACUAACUAGGAAAGCUAGUGGAAGACUACCUUACCCGAAAGGGGCAAGGGCAGUAGGGGAGUAGGCACGCAGGGAGGUUCUCGAGUUGAUUUUGCUGCGAUGGCGGUCAGACGAGGGAUUUUUGCAAGUGCUCUUCCCAUAAACUGUAGCGGGUUUUUGGAAGCUAGUGGAACUAGGUAAAGGCCUCGUAGUGUUACCCUACCUCGCUUCCUUGGUAGAGGUGUACGGGAUUCAUGACCUCUUGGCAGAUGGGUAACAUGGCUUGUGGGUAAAGGGUACAACCUCUGCAGAGUGUAAAAACUGGUAUACUAGCUGAGCUCACGGUCAUGAGCAGCUCAGGACUCUCGCAAGAUUAAACUAUGGAACUAAAUUCAGUUUGUCAUUUGCAUUGCAUGGGAUUAUUUAUUGAUUUUGUUCUAUUAUUAUUAUAGUUUGGUAUUUACUUACAUCUAGUAAUUGCUAAUAAAAUUUUGACCAACUUUAAAAGCAAUGCUCAACUUUAACCAUUCUCUUUGGUAAGCCUUACACCUCACAUGAGCUCCCACCUUUAGUGAGUUCAUGCACAUUAUUCCCCACAACUUGUUGAGCAUUGAACAUGUGUGACCUCACCCUUGCUGUCUCACACCCCCCAUAGGAGAAGAAUAGGUGGUUCAAGAAGAGCCACACAACGAGGAGUUUGACUUAAUCUAGGUGGCGUCUCCCAGUUGACUUAUUGGCGCCAAGGAUGGAUUUUAGUUUGUUUUAUAUUUAUCUUUCAUUUUGUAAGACUUCUGCUAUAUAAUAAGUACUCUGAUGUUAUUGUGACAUUUAUCUCUAUACACAUCUGUUAUUAUAUGUGUUGUCUUCUUUGGCGCAUAUAUGAGAUGCACCCGGCUUUGUCCCUUAAAUCCGGGUGUGAUAGGCACUCCAGUCCUCAACGUCGCACGUGUGGAGCAGAAGAAAGGGGAAGUUGGGCCGCCAUCCGAAUUCGGCCCAGUACGGCUGAGUUUGAUUUUUCUUUUGAUUCUCGAUUUCUUUUCUAUUUUUUCCAAAUCCAAGUGCUCAAAUGAAUUUGAAUUCCUAGUUUGAAUCUCAGACUUUUAAAUACCAAAUAAGAUUCUAAUGUGAAUGGUACUACCCCUUUAUGCCAUAAUUAUUAUUUAGUUAUUAUUAUAAUAAUUAUUCAUCCUCCAUUCUUUAAUUCUUUGGCUCCCAUAUUAUAUAGUGUACUAUUUUGGACUCAAGUCUAGUCUUAAUUCAUUUAUAACUUUAUAUUGGAUGCAUAGACAAAAAAUAUCCAGCAUGAUGCAUAGAAUAUUUUAUUAAUUAUUUGUUUUCUUAAAUAUGGUUAUGCUCAUGUUCUAUCUUGUGGAUGGCAAAACAUGUAGUACAAUUAAUUCUUUUCCUUCUCUAUUACAAAUUGGGUAUUACAACUAACUCGCGGUCCGAUAAAAAUUAAAAGAAAUUUAAUUCAGGUCCUGUUUUUGUGGUUUAAACCCUGCUCUUUCAGGUAACAGAAGCCACCGUCCAAAGACUCUAUUAAAUUAUGAAAAUCGAAUCCGAAGUUGAUUUCUAAUAUAAAUAAUUCCUAAACAUAGAAAAUUCAUAUUUUCUUCGUUUUAACUCUAAUUUAAUCCGUUCAAGUUGCAUUUGCUUCGUAAUAAAAUUAUCCACUUGUUAAAACAUUAUGUCAUCUAUUUUCAAGAAUAGUUAAGUGUUGGUUUACUAGGUUAACUUAUCUAAUCAAAGUGAAAUGUGAUACUUUAAUUUGAUCUAUGAUCAUAAUUUGACUAAAAUAUGAUUCUAAUCAAGUUAUAAUUUAGAAUAAAACUAAAUUAAUGUUUUCUUCAGAAUAUCUUUCUCACAUGAUUUAUUAAUCAACAUAGACAUAGUUUUCAUAUUUAAUCACAUAAAACUUAUGAAAACCAUAUCGUUUCAACCAUAACUCUGAAUUUAGAGAUUCUCAAACAUACGAUUCUGUAGCGAGACGUAGAAUAAUAUUACGUGGUUCAUUCUCUUGCUUGGUGUGAUGUUAAUUUUGUCCAUACAAUGUUUGUUUGUAUUGGUGCGAGUAGACGAGCCAGCCACUGAGGAACCUAGAGCACAACAGGUUGAGGAUCCUGAACAGGAGCUCAUGGAAGGCAAGUUGUGCCCUUGAUCACCCUUCUUUACCCAAUAAUGUUUUUGUUAAUCACUAUGAUAUGCUCAAGAUAAUCUGAUGGGACCUAAUAGGUUACCCUAGUUUGGUUUACUUCACACCUUGUGUGCCACUGAACUAUUGGGUAGUAUCUGUUAUUGCGCUAUGUGAUUUUGGGUGUUAAGAUACAUAUGAUUCAUGAUCAUGCUUUAUUAUUGUUUUAGAUUAUUUUUUGGUCAUGACAAGGUUAUUAUGUUAAUUGGAACAUGGAGCUUAACUUGAGAUAACUGUGCUACCACAAGGGUGGAAUGGGACGCCCUUGGUUGACUAAUUAGGAAAGCUAGUGGAGGACUACCUUACCCAAAAGGGGCAAGGGCGAUAGAGGAGUUGCUGGUGUAAGGAGGUUCUCGGGUUGAUCAUGCUGCGAUGGCUUUUUGGGCGAGGGAUUCAUAUAUCGCUCUUCUCACGAAAUCGUAGCGGCCUCGUAGUGGAUCCCUAGCCAUUCACCUCGGGAGUGUCUAAGGGCCUUGCAAACCCUGGCUAGAUGGGAUACACGACUUGUGGUUAAAGGGCUCAACUUCUGGAAAGUGUAAAAUUGGUAUACCAGCCACGCUCACGGUCAAGAGAGACUUAGGACUCUCGCAUGAUUAAUUUAUGGAAUUAAACUUAAUCUAUCAUAUGCAUUGCAUUGUGGGAUUUAUUAUAAUUGUGAUCUCUUAUUUUAUUGGGCUAGUAUACACUUAUACUUAGUAACCGCUAAUAAAAUUUGACGAACUUAUUAAAAUUAAUGCUUAGCUUUAACCAUUAUUUGUUGAUCAGCCUUACACUAUACAUGAGCCCCACCGUAAGUGAGCUCAUGCACAUUAUUCCCCACACUUGCUGAGCGAUAAACUUUUUUGAGCUCACUUUUGCGAUAAACCCUAGGUGAAGAGCAGGUGCCAUCGGAGGAGGACUAGUAUGAUGAGUUCGACGAGGUCUAGGUGUCAUCUCCCAAUUAGCUUGACAGCGCUGAGGAAAUAAUAUUAUUAGUUCGAUUUAUUUAUUAUCAGUUAUUUUGUAAGACAUUUUCGUUAUAUAAUAAAGUUCAUGACAUUCGUCUCUAUACACUGAGUCAUUGUAUGUGUUCAUCUUCUUUGGCGCACAUAUGAGACGCACUCAGGUUUACCCCUUAAAUCUAAGAGUGACAUAGUUCACCCUGUAGUCUUGUGGCAUGCAUGCAAGGGGUGGCACAUCGGUGCAGGGAUGGCUCUUGUGAAUGGUCCAUUUGUUCACCAUCACCACCCUGCAGUCUUGAUGUUUAGCCAAACAGGAGAGAUGACCUUAGAAAAAGGCAAUGCAAGUGUCUAUAGUCACCCAUGGAUAAAUUAGAAACUAGUCAGAUGUUCGUGUAUUGCUACAACUUCUAUAUAUCAUAUGUGUUGAUGUCGAUCUGGGUGCCAAUCACUGGGGAUGUACCGUCUAGCGGUGCCAUCUUUGGCACAAGAGCGACACUUUUGCUGCAUGCCUCCGAACGGUCCACGCUCUUGGAUAGACUGUCCGUGAUGGUGCAUGGUUGUCUUCCUCCUCACAGAAACCUAGAUCUCGCCCCCUAGGGGAGAUAUCUUAGGGUGCUCCGGGUCGGUAGGUCACUCAGGGCGUAUCCAGAUGACAUAGAGUCACCUAGGGCACUCGAUUUCACUCCGAGGAUCAGAUCUUAAGUUAAGUAAUCAAGUCAAGGAAGAGAUCUUGAGUGCAGUGGAUCUUGCCCCUGGGGAGGGGUAAGAUCCUUGGGUCGUCUUGGGAUCAGUAGGCCACCCCACACAGAUCUAGAUGACGUAGAGUCGAAUAGGGGUGGAGGCGGAUAUGUGGAAAGCUACAACUAGAUUAUGCUACAUCUACUCCUAGGGCAUGAAUGACAAAGGAAUGAUAAAUAAAGUAAUUGGUUCAAUUGGAAUGUGUUCUGGGGUUUUCAAUCGGAUGUACCCCUUCAUAUAUAUAGUGGUGGUCUGGACCUAUUCCUAAGCGAUAGAUAACAAAUCCAACAUGAAUAGAUGGAUCCGAGAUAAGGAUAAUCGCUCGAGUUAAUCUGAUCGCGGCGACACGGACCGUCCGGGCCCUAGGGCCGGACCGUCCGACACUUUUGCUGUUCAACACAUGCCCCUUGCCUUUUGGUAGAGCUUGGUGAACAAAAAGUACGAGCGCACUUUGAAAACAAUAGAUAUGAUGAGUUAUUUUGUGUAAAGCCCAAAAUUUGGAAGGAUUAAAAAAUAUAUAUAAUAAGGUUUUGGAAAUUGUGGAUCCUUGGGGGAUUAUUUUGGUUCCUUUUCUUCUUUUGCAUCUCCAAAUAAUGGGACCAAUCUAAGAUAAAUAACAAUUAUAUAAAAAAAGAAAUAUGCAUUUAUAUUUAAAUGGAUAACACAAGAUUGUGUGGCAAAAAUUUGAAAUAGGAAAGAAUAAAGGAAAUAACAAAAGAAAAGGGAAAAAGAAAAAAAAUAAAAGAAAGGGGGAGGACAAACCCACAUGGGCCAAAACCUCCUCGGCCCGACUCAACCCACCGGCCCAGCUGUAGCGGUGCGCCGAUAGGCAGGGCCCGCCCGUCAGUCAUGUGGCGCGCGCCCUUUUCCAACAGAGUCGCUGACAUGUGGGACCAUCACGUCUGGCUCGAUCACCAUGUCGCGUUCCUCGGCCUGCGUCCGCUUCUAGGUAGGGUCCACUCGUCAUUCCCUCGGAUGCUCGUGUUCGGGUGCCACUGCCCAAUGGGACUCCCAUGUCAGGGUGCUCUCCUUCCCUAUCCGCGCGCGACGCUCGCAACCAACCGCGCCAAUCGCGCGCACCAGUCCAACUCAAGCUAGAGUUUGUUAUAUCAACGUCUCUAGGGGGUAUAAACACCGUGCGCCAAGAACUUGUUUCCCCUUCCUCGUCAUACUUCAGUCACCGACUACAUAGAGGGAGUGGGAGAACGCAGAGAAGUCGGUCGUCGUCGCUAUCCUUGAUCUCGGCGCCGCGUGGUGCCCUAGGAGGUCUCGGGUGAUAAGCCGAAGACAGUGAAGGUGGGAGGAUUGAAUCCGAGGACGCUGGGUGACAAAGACUUCACGAUCGCUCGCCGAACUUCACUAGAGGCGCCGUGUCGCCAUUCACCAGGGCUAGAACACUUCGUAGCUCUCCGAAAACGGUACUUGCUUCCAUUGCAUUCAUAUUGUUAUUCUCUUCACGAAUCUAGGGUUAGACGGGCAAACGGGCAUCGGGGCAUCGAUCUGGCUCACGCCGGUGAGGGCUCCACCGUGAAUGGGGCCGGCGCCGCUUCGUCCUCGCAUUAGGAGGUAGAAGAUCGGUCGGGGCCGUUAAUCGGACCACUAAUGGCUAGGAUCGAGCCAUCAUACCAUUUGGCCGGGAGCCUUCGCGAUCGUCGAUUGGUAAAUGGAGGGAUGGGAUGGGAUUUCAUUUAAACUUACUCUCCACCAUAGAUCUUCAGAUCAACGACCCCAAACGCAUACCGAUUUGGUGUAGACAAUUUUGAAUCCGUGCCAUCAAAAUCUGAUCGGAUGGCCUUGGUUCACCCGUACCCCUUCGACGUGGUUGGUUUGCUAAAGAGCCCCUACCUAUUUUAGUUAUCAACCCGCCAUCCAGAUUAGUUCAAAAGAAAUUAUGACUAUGUCCUGGAAUUUACAAAAUAGACCCUGAACUUAUUUAAAAUAGUGGUCGGAGUCCAUUGAUCCCUGUUCAUUGAUAAAAUUAAUUCAAAAUUGAUUUUUGUAUGCAAAAGUAAUCCUAAUAACCUUAGAAAAUCCAUAACUAAUUCAUUUUACCUCUGAUUUAACCCAUUCCCGUUGCAUUAGGAUCGUAUUAAUAUUAACUACAAUCUAGUAACCUUAUCUUGUUAUGUAACAUGUUGUCAAAAGCCAAGAACUUAAUUGGUUUACCCUAUGUUUUACUUGCCCAAGCACAUAAAACUUCGGAAAAUCAUAUCUUAUUCAUUAUAACUCUGAUUUUAGUUGUUCUCGAACCUACGAUUUCAUAGCAACGUGUAGAACAUUAUUAUGCAGUUUGUUCUCAUGUUUGGUGUGAUGCUAAUUUUUGCCUAUACCAUGUUUGUAUGUAUUGUUGCGAGUAGAUGAGCAAGUGAACGAAGAACCCGAUACUCAGCAGGUAGAAAAUACUGAGCAUGAGCUCGUUGAAGGCAAGUUGUGCCCUUGAUCACUCUUCUUUACCCAAUAAUGUUCCUGUUAAUCAUUAUGAUCUACAUAGGUUAAUGUUGAUGGGACCAAAUAGGUCACCCUAGUUUGGUCAUCUUUAUACCUUGUUUACCACUGAACUUUUAGGUAGUAUAUGCUAUUGCUUUAUGUGGUUUUGGGUGUUAAGAUACACAUUAUUCAUGGUCAUGCUAUUUAUUAUUAAUGAGUUAUUUAUUGUUCAUGAUAAGAUCAUUAUGUUAAUUGGAACAUGGAGCGACCACCCAGGAAAACAGUGCUACCACGGGGGUGGUAUGGGACGCCCUUGGCUGACUAACUAGGAAAGCUAGUGGAGGAUUACCUUACCCAAAAGGGGUAAGGGUGGUAGGGGAGUUAUCGGUUUAGCGAGGUUCUCGGGUUGAUCAUGCUGUGAUGGAUUUUCAGACGAGGGAUUCCUAUAUCACUCUACUCAGAAAUCGUAGCAGGUUUUCGGAAGCUUGUGGAACUUUGUAAAGGCCUCAUAGUGCUACCCUGCCUCGCCUCCUCGGUAGAGGUGUAUGGGGUCCGUACAACCCCGCGGCAGAUGGGUAUCAUGGCUUGUGGGUAAAGAUGCGCAAUCUCUGCAGAGUGUAAAACUGGUAUAUCAGCCGCGCUCACGGUCAUGAGUGGCUCAGACCCUCACAUGAGUAACUUAUGGAAUUAAACUUAAUUGGUCAUUUGCAUCGCAUUGUGGUUUUAUUAUUAAUUAUGAUCUCACAUUUAUAUGGGUUGGUAUUUACUUAUACUUAGUAACUACUAAUAAAAUUUGACCAACUUAUUAAAAGCAAUGCUUUGCCUUAACCAUUAUUUGUUGAUCAGCCUGACACUAUACAUGAGCCCCACCGUAAGUGAGCUCAUGCACAUUAUUGCCCACACUUGUUGAGCGAUGAACUUUUGUGAGCUCACUCUUGUGAUAAAACUCUCCCCCACAGGUGAAGAGCAUGUGGCCCCGGAGGAAGAUUACUAUGAGGAGUUCGACGAGGUCUAGGAGUCGUCUCCCAGUCGACUUAAUGGCGUCAAGGAAAUAAUAUUAGUUCGCUUUAUUUAUUAUUAGUUAUUUUGUAAGAUAUUCUUGUUAUGUAAUAAUGUUGGUG
rnacentral:lncRNA from 1 species